AGCUUUGCCCAGUGGCAGUAUCACAGGCAGUGAGGUUUAUCUGAGGUGUGAUUAUUGCUAAUUGAAAGCAAG
rnacentral:snRNA from 1 species